GUAGUCUCGCACAGAUGCAUAUCAAUAAGCGGAGGAAAAGAAACUAACAAGGAUUCCCCUAGUAACGGCGAGUGAAGCGGGAAGAGCUCAAAUUUGAAAUCUUAAAGGGUUUCCCUUUACGAAUUGUAGUUUAAAGAAGUGUUUUCUGUUGAGGUUUUGGUAAAAGUUCUUUGGAAUAGGACAUCAUAGAGGGUGAGAAUCCCGUAUUUGACCUUUACUUUCAACUUUGUGAUACACUUUCAAAGAGUCGGAUUGUUUGGGAAUGCAGUCCAAAAUGGGUGGUAAAUUUCAUCUAAAGCUAAAUAUUGGCGAGAGACCGAUAGCGAACAAGUACCGUGAGGGAAAGAUGAAAAGAACUUUGAAAAGAGAGUUAAACAGUACGUGAAAUUGUCAAAAGGGAAGCGUUUGACACCAGUGUUGUUUUUCUGAAAAUCAAUUAAAGAACUGUUUAUGCUAAGUUGUUUAGACUUUAUCAGCUAUCUGCUUAGUUUUGAGCUUUUCUUUAAUGCACUUUUCAGUUAACAAGUCAACAUCAAUUUCUUUUGCUGUAAAAAAGCUUGAGGAAGGUGGCUUGAGAUUCGUCUUAAGUGUUUAUAGCCUCUUGCCUAUGCAGUCGGAGAGAUUGAGGUCUGCAGCGUAGAUCCUUCGGGGCUAAAUGCAUUUGUGCUAAGUUAUAACAUUUUAUAGACAACUUGUUGACUAUGAUUUGUCUUGUAGCUUACUCGCUUAUGUUAUUUUACCUACGCUUAGGAUGUUGACGCAUGAAUAUACGC
rnacentral:rRNA from 1 species